CACUCAGUAAUUGGUAGCUAAUAUUGCCCCCUGUGGGCUUCUGGGACUUAUGCCCCUGCUAUGGCUUACUCUUCCAUCUUUGAGUCCUUGCAGCCCAGGAUGGCUGUGAAAUAGACUACAAGGGGAAGGAUUAUGUAUGUAUGUAUGUAAGUAUGUAUAUAUGUAUUUGUUGUAAUUAUUUUACAUCACCUUUCCUCAUUCAGGUGUCUUCAAAAACAAACAUAUUUAAAAGAUUUUACUUCUCAUCUCCAGGAAGAACCAGCUAGGAGUAGGGUGCAAAUAGCUAUGGGCAACUUGGCCUCGGCCAUAAGGAAGAUGUGCUGUUGCCCCAGCAACUGAAUGACUUCUGUAAACCCAGGAGUGUCAGGAGGAUCACAGGAGGAGGGGGCCACUCUGCAGUUGUCACAG
rnacentral:lncRNA from 10 species